GACGAACGCUGGCGGCGUGCUUAACACAUGCAAGUCGAACGGAAAGGCCCUGCUUGCAGGGUGCUCGAGUGGCGAACGGGUGAGUAACACGUGGGUGAUCUGCCCCUUACUUUGGGAUAAGCCUGGGAAACUGGGUCUAAUACUGGAUAGGACCAUGCUGUAGGUGGUGUGGUGGAAAGAUUUUUUCGGUAAGGGAUGAGCUCGCGGCCUAUCAGCUUGUUGGUGGGGUAAUGGCCUACCAAGGCGUCGACGGGUAGCCGGCCUGGGAGGGUGGACGGCCACAUUGGGACUGAGAUACGGCCCAGACUCCUACGGGAGGCAGCAGUGGGGAAUAUUGCACAAUGGGCGCAAGCCUGAUGCAGCGACGCCGCGUGGGGGAUGACGGCCUUCGGGUUGUAAACUCCUUUCAGCCAUGACGAAGCCUCUUUUGGGGUGACGGUAGUGGUAGAAGAAGCACCGGCUAACUACGUG
rnacentral:rRNA from 1 species